rnacentral:tRNA from 1 species
ACACGAUUAGGUUAAUGGUAAACUCACGGUCUCCAAAACCGUCAAUGAAUGUUCGAAUCAUUCAUCGUGUGCCA